rnacentral:lncRNA from 1 species
GAUACAGAACGCUCUCACAUAGACGGUGAUGAGAUUCCUACAGUCCUCUGCUGAUGGAUGCUUUUGGGGGGACUGUGAGCAAACAGCUGAUUGCAUUAAGAGGCUACAGCAGAACUGCCUGGAGAAUUGGGAUAGCACCGCUGAGUUCACCAGCUGCCCUGUCUUCUGUGGAGAAUGGAGCAUCUGUGCAACAAGGAGUUGGGCUUUCAGGGCUCAAUCCAGUAAGCGAUUCUUCCAGGCCCUGAUUUUACUCCCUCUGUAA